UACGUAGGUGGCAAGCGUUGUCCGGAUUUAUUGGGUUUAAAGGGUGCGUAGGCGACCCCGUAAGUCAGUGCUGAAAUAUCCCGGCUUAACCGGGAGGGUGGCAUUGAUACUGCGAGGCUUGAGUAAAGUUGAGGUAGGCGGAAUUGACGGUGUAGCGGUGAAAUGCUUAGAUAUCGUCAAGAACACCGAUAGUGUAGACAGCUUAC
rnacentral:rRNA from 1 species